GUUUCUGUGGUGUAGUGGUUAUCACGUUUGCCUAACAUGCAAAAGGCACCUGGCUUGAAACCAGGCAGAAACA